rnacentral:lncRNA from 1 species
GACUGGCGGGACUGCGCGGAGGCGACUGCAGACGUAUCGGGGGUCCGGAGCCUGUCGCGGCUGCUAAGCGCUCGGCGCCUGGCGCUGGCGCUGGCCAAGGCUUGGCCAACAGUGUUGCAAACAGGAACCCGAGGUGUUCACUUCACUGUUGAAGGAACGAGAGGGCAUCUGCUAAAGUUUCAGAUUCCAUUUCUGCUCAGUAUCCAGUAGUGGAUCAUGAAUUUGAUGCAGUGGUGGUAGGCGCUGGAGGGGCAGGCUUUGCGAGCUGCAUUUGGCCUUUCCGAGGCAGAGUUUGAUACAGCAUGUGUUACCAAGCUGUUUCCUACCAGGUCACACACUGUUGCAGCGCAGCUAGAAAAUUAUGGCAUGCCGUUUAGCAGAACUGAAGAUGGGAAGAUUUAUCAGCGUGCAUUUGGUGGACAGAGCCUCAAGUUUGGAAAGGGCAGGCAGGCCCAUCGGUGCUGCUGUGUGGCUGAUCGGACCGGCCACUCAAUAUUGCACACCUCAUAUGGGAGGUCUCUGAGAUAUGAUACCAGCUGUUUUGUGGAGUAUUUUGCCUUGGAUCUCCUGAUAGAGAACAGGGAGUGCCGUGGUGUCAUUGCACUGUGCAUAGAGGACGGGUCCAUCCAUCACAUAAGAGCAAAGAACACUGUUGUUGCCACAGGAGUCAAGAAACUUUUCUUUUGAGCUAUUGACAGCUUUUAACAAGUUAUUAUACUCCUAUGAACAAAAUUUGGAGCAUAUUUGUUUCUCUCUGCCUGAUUUCUCCUGAAUUUGGAAACUAUUUUGCCAUGGUCUCCAUGAACUGAUUUUUUUGUGCAGUGGGCAGGAAGAACCCAUCGGGCAGCUACACAUCUUGAAAGAGAAGCUCUUCCUGUGAGGAUCUGGAGUAUUACGGACCACGAGAGAUGCAGAAAUGGAGCAC